GACGAACGCUGGCGGCGUGCCUAAUACAUGCAAGUCGAACGGUCUUUUCUAUGGAAGCUUGCUUCCGCUGAGAAGAUAGUGGCGAACGGGUGAGUAACACGUGGGUAACCUGCCCAUAAGAGGGGGAUAACAUCCGGAAACGGGUGCUAAUACCGCAUAGGUUUCUUGGUCGCAUGAUCGAGAAAGGAAGACGCUUUUGCGUCACUGAUGGAUGGACCCGCGCUGCAUUAGCUAGUUGGUGGGUAACGGCUCACCAAGGCCACGAUGCAUAGCCGACCUGAGAGGGUAUCGGCCACACUGGGACUGAGACACGGCCCAGACUCCUACGGGAGCAGCAGUAGGGAAUCUUCGGCAAUGGACGAAGUCUGACCGAGCAACGCCGCGUG
rnacentral:rRNA from 1 species